rnacentral:rRNA from 1 species
GACGAACGCUGGCGGCGUGCUUAACACAUGCAAGUCGAACGGAAAGGCCUCUUUCGGGGGGUACUCGAGUGGCGAACGGGUGAGUAACACGUGAGUAACCUGCCCUUGACUUUGGGAUAACUUCAGGAAACUGGGGCUAAUACCGGAUAGGAGCUCCUGCUGCAUGGUGGGGGUUGGAAAGUUUCGGCGGUUGGGGAUGGACUCGCGGCUUAUCAGCUUGUUGGUGGGGUAGUGGCUUACCAAGGCUUUGACGGGUAGCCGGCCUGGGAGGGUGACCGGCCACAGUGGGACUGAGAUACGGCCCAGACGCCUACGGGAGGCAGCAGUGGGGAAUAUUGCACAAUGGGUGGAAGCCUGAUGCAGCAACGCCGUGUGCGGGAUGACGGCCUUCGGGUUGUAAACCGCUUUCGCUCAUGACGAAGCUUUGUGUGACGGUAGUGGGUAAAGAAGCACCGGCUAACUACGUG